CGGGGAGUGGCGCAGUCUGGUAGCGCACCUGGUUUGGGACCAGGGGGCCGCAGGUUCGAAUCCUGUCUCCCCGACCA
rnacentral:tRNA from 1 species